rnacentral:rRNA from 1 species
AUGAUACAAUCAAUUGGAUUGUUUUUUACGGUUAUGGAUCUAGCGAAAAAAAUAUUGUUUUCACAUCAUUGUUUUAAUCCAAUGUUCAGCUUUCAUGCUAUCAAUCUAUCAUGUCUGCACAUUUUCGUAGGAACUGCUGAACGUUCGUAUCAAUUGAAUCAAUGUGGCCUUACAUGUAGUNNNNNUACUGUUAAAUUUGUAGAUAUCUUAUUUUAUUCAGCAGUAACUUUAUUUUCUUUUCACUUCUUUUUUAUAAAUGUCAUGGAGUCAGUUAUAAUAGUGAUUUCUUUUCCUUCUGAAAGAAAUUGUUUGUCUGCUUUGGGUUUCAAUUUUAAUGCCUGCUCGGUACAAUCUGCAACUACUUAUAGACUACUUCAUCUGGAUGGGUUUGCAACUUUGUGUACAGUUUGCUUCAAUACCUCUGUUAACAUUCUACGGCCUGCUGCUAUUUUUCCAUUUGUUCAGUUGCUACCUCUACCCACCAAGUUGAUUUUCUGCAGAUAG